UAGCUGUUUAAAGGAAAGCUCAACAGGAGAGCUGUCCAUGUUCAAUGAUACAGGAAGUGGGGCAGGGAGAGGAGAACGGAAUGCAAAAGCCAACUCCCGAAGGGAGAGCCUUCUUCCAAAAUCUGCCUAACCAAAGAAUAGCGGGAUAAGCUCUGUAUGAGCUGUUGAUGGCUGACAAUGGAAGCAGCGGUAGUGCGCCUCCCGACUACCUCGACUUGUGUGCCGUGAAUAUGGCGAUCGCGGCGGCGGGGAGAACGGCGCAACCGUUGCCUAGCAAAGCUUGGUCGGCUGCAUGCGUGCCGUGCGGCCGUCCGGCUUACGGCCGCAGCUCUGGGCUGGCGCUGGCCAUGGCCUGAGCCGUCGCGCUGGCACGGCCUGCUACGGCAUAGCUGGUUGGACAAGCGAUGGUCGGGAAGGUCGAAAAGGCACCCAUAAGGCUUUGUUUGUGGGCGCUCUGGGGCAUGAUAAGAGGUUGUCUUUACCAUGAGGGCGAGCUCAAAGUUAGCCUCUGCAUGGACGUGUUUCUAGCAGAUUUUUAUUUUUGUGCGCUUUACUAGCUGUCUAUUGCCUUUCAGUUCGCACGGUCCAAUGCCUUCUUUCUAGUUAUCUUACUUAUUUGUAUCUUACUUAGAGUCUGUUUAGGAGCUAAGUACUCCCUCCGUCAGGAUACAUCCCUUUUUAUCCAUUUUGAUGACAAGUAUUUCCGGACGAAGGGAGUACUAGUUUUACCUUUUUACAAAAAGAUUGGAAAGAAUUCUGCAAGCCUCUAAUAUGCAAAGGUAUGGAACCUAAAACUUAGAUUUCAAUCAUUUCCUUAGUGUACCUUACCUCUAUUGGUGUACUGCGUCCAUCAAUUGUAUUUUUCUUCGAAGAUCAGAGCUCCAAUAACAAUUUCCGGUUACCUUAUGCCUCUUCACUGCUCUCUCUCUCUCUUGUCUUUCAUUCAUACUCCCUCCAUUCCAAAAUAAAUGUUGUGGUUUUAGUUCAAAUUGGUAUUCCACCUCUUGCUUGCUUCUAGUCCAAAGGUGAAAUCCAUAGUAAUAGUUGGUUGUAUUGUCAAUAUUUGAAAAAAAAUCUUAAGUUGCCAAAAGUUGACAAUAAAAUUUGGUAGCAAACCACUAGCCAUCAUUUGACAUUUUUGGCAAAAUAUUGGCAUGCCAACUUUUGACAUCUAACCACUGGAAAAAAAAAAUUGCGCUCUAUAGCAUCAUUGAUAGCACGUUGUAGCGUUUUGAGCAAUGUCUCUCCAAAUAAACUAGUGUACAAAAGUAUCUCGCUAAUAGCGCAUUUUAAGAGUGGCGCUAUUUUGCUAUUGCAGAUCAUUGGGAAAGGGGUUUUGGUGAACAAAUAUAGACUAUUUUUUUUGUCAUGACCAGAACAUUGGUGAAGAGGGUUUUGGCCACCAUCCAAACACACCCUAACUUCUGCCAAUCAUGCCGGUUACCUAGGAUCAACACAAAGAUGAUCGAGCAUACCAGUAAAACUAGCAAUCAACGUAAAUUUAGCUCAGGUGAACUCUAGACGAUACACAUGGACCUCUAUCCGGACUCAGGGUUGGCCACCCAACAAUUUGCGGCAGGAGCCUGUGGCUUGCUGGUUGGCAACGACAGUGGCCACGCAGCACCCCCAAUGUUUGAUAUGUUGGAUCGCCUUAGGUGUCUCACUCAGGGGUUUUAGUUUGCAGCUAUCUCACAGGCCUUCGGGCCACAGCGUGCCCACCGUUCAUGGAGUUGAAUGGCUUCGGAAGUUUUCUCAAGACGCAUUGCGUUGUAGAUCUAGUUAGGCACAUCGCCGAUAUGUGUGGGUGUUCUGCAUCUGAUCAAAUACUAAAGAGAAACAAUGUUUUGACAAAUUAUUAAGCCAAGUGGGCUUUUUUGUUCAUCUGCUAUUUACUUUUCUGGCGUACAGGUUCACAUAAAUCUGAGAUGAUAAGGAUUUAUCAGGCAGGAGCCAUGCCAUGCCAGCAAAGAGUUGCAACAAUGCAUCAGCGGGAACAGUAUUACAGUACUUGGACUUGCUUCAAAAAUUACCUUUUUUUUUGCAGUACUUGAGCGGCCUCAGUUUGAUAAUACAAGAACCGUUGUUAGCAUUUCUACAACAUGAAGACAAGUACCGCACCAAACUAAAAUCUGUAAGUUUAAGAAUCUCUCUAGAACUCAAUUUCCGCCAAACUUGAUAAUAAGCUCUUUACAUAGAGAUUCAAAACUACACCCAUUUACCCAUUUCUCUUUAUCACUUUACUGGCUAUGGUUGUUCACAGUUAUAUGUAUCUUGUUUAAAAAAAAAAUUUAAAAUAUCCACCCUCAGCUGACAAGAUUAACUUGGAAGAAAAAUAGUAGUUUUAUAAGAGGAAAAAUGGAAAAAGAGACCAAAUAUCCAAAGGAUUCAGGGGCAGAGAGUAGAAUCAGCACAACUACAGGAUCCCCUCAACAAAUAAAAAUUACCAACACCCACAAUAGAUCUGAAACUCGGUAGAAACACACUUAAAAGAGGGGGAACACCACUGCAUUGCUCAUCAGGAGAAAACAAACUGGUCGUCGCAAAGAGAGAGAGAUAACAAAACUGGAAACCUGUAAAAUGUAAACUCAAUGGGAAUAAAACAACAAUCUCCAAGUUCGGAAGAAAAGAACCUUAAACGAGGGAAAACUGAAUAUAUACAACCAAACCACCUCUUAAAGUCGUAAUAUCACUGAUCAGCGUAAAACAAACUGCAAAAUCCCUAUAGAAUGGAACAACACACAGGAGGGGAAAAAACCAGCGGUUGCUUAUAAGUCGCGAGAAAGCCCCCUGGUUAACCUCGAUCCACAGAACUUUUGUGUUCUAAGAAAAAGGCCCCUCCGGGCUGAACACGUGGCUCAAGUUGUAGACUGGUGUCCUUUGUUGCUCUAUCCGGAGAAUAGCAGUCCACACCAGGCUGCACUCUAACCGAUCUUUCACGGGUAAAUCUGGGAAAACCUCCCAUGCUCUGCUCGUUGCCAAACUGCACUCUAACUGAUCUUUCACGGGUAACUCUGCGAAGACCUCCCAUGCUCCGCUCGUUGCUAGCAUCAUUGUGCCCGGCGCUGCAAAGGGAACCCAUGCUAGCAAAAUUCAAACACAAUUUUGUCAGCCUGGGAUUGAGAUGAGUACACAGAUACACUUCAUGUGAAAUUAUAAUGGUGCAAGAUAGAACGCAACUAAAAGCAUACAAAACAUUACUGGAUGCAAAAUUUUAGAUUGUAUGAGAGCAACUAAAAAUAUUUCUUGUCAAGAAAUCCACCUGCAAUUUCAACCCUUUUAUAUUUAACUUCUAACAAACAGAGAAAAAUCUUUCAGUGCUCAAAAGAUAUCUAUCUCUGAAUCAUGUCUUGAGCAUUCCUUUGGCGACUUCUCAAGCAUAGAAGAUGUGCACAAUUACUUAAACUACUUGUACCAUUCAGAAGAAAUGGUGUUGUAUUUCAAGGGAUACCAUCCUGAACCUUGUUUUUCUAUAGAAACGAAGGGAAAUUGUGUCUAGCCAUAGGCUCACACUGUUUUCUAGUGUUGCCAUGCAUGCAUAUUUUCCAUACACCAAGACAAAUCAACAAUGUUUCCUUGGAACACCAAAUAAGAUACUCAAAGCUCCUCUCUUGGGGGCUGUAAGGAAUUACAGCCCAGUAUUAAUUCUUUCUCAUUUAGUAGGAAUAUCCUAAAUGGCCAUUUCAUGCAAUAACAUGAGAUCUAGUGAAACAAAAAAAUGUAACACACAAAUAUUUUUGAAUUGAAGCACAUAUCAUGAUUAACAUGUAAACAUGUUGCAAUGGUCUACAUAUUAUAUUUUAGCUGGUCUCAUCAUUUUCUUUUCCCAUUAAUCAUUUAAUAGUGACCAACUUCUAUAAAAAGGACAGACCCAGUGCAUAGAAGCUCCCACACAAGGUGGGGUCUGGGGAAGGAUUAUAGAGUGACCAACUUCUAUAUGUAAGAAAAUAUUCUUCCUUUGCGGAGCAUGUCGUGUGUAUUUUACAUUUGAUUUUUAGUUUUGAACUAUAAAAAUGUAUGUAAAAUCAGAUUUAGUUUCAAUACUUUAAACUAUGUACAAUGAAGAUAAUGUUUCAAGUGAACCAAAACACAAAAAAGCUUUCCUGGGAAGGGCGCCCCAAAAAGUAAACAAGCAAAGGUACAGUGCCCAUGUAUGUGCACCUAAAUGCCAGUGUUUCUACAACAGAGUACUGGAUUAGUUGCUGGAAAGGAUACUCGAUACUGAGUCACCGACAUUAAAACCUCAAAUAACAACAUAAAGAAUCAGCUACACCUUACUUGCGCCACUCCUACAGCAGCUAGAUCACACUGUCCUAUUACAAAAUGUCACCUAACCAUUCAAUUUACUAUUUCACAAGGAUUUCAGGUCUAGCAGCAGGAUCUGGGGAGUCGAUUAUCAAUUAUAGAACUGAAGCCUAAUUCUGAACCUUGCAUUUUCAGACUAAAGUCAGCACCUGUUGUACCAUUUCAGAUACUUCAUUCAAAAUAAAUAAGGAUGGCUAUGAUGGACCAGGAGGCAGAGUUCAGAGAAUCUGGUGGAUAGUAGUUAUUGUUUGCUCCUAGUUACUGUAAUAUCGAUGUUAUGUGUAGCAAACAUCGCUAUGGAACCAUGUCAAAAGAUGCAGGUGCUACUCUCAUGUACCAAUUGGCUACAGUUAUGGGCAUCGGAACAAAGAAGCUUGAGUGGAUUACCAGGGUGUUUAAUCCUGGUUUGGACGCCAUGCCAGUGAUAGGCUUUCAGCAUUUAGGAGUGGACUUGUCUGGCCUGUUUGUCUUAGCUUGUCCAUGUGUUCAAUAUUUCCCUCUUAUUGCAAAGAUCAAGUUUUAAUCUUCUUGUAAUAAGGUUGGCUAUAUGCAUCAUACAAUAGAGUCCGGGGUAAUAAAAGCUUCCAUUAGAAAAAUAUGAAUAAAGCAGUGUUAUGUAUUCCAAACUA